CCUACGGGUGGCAGCAGUGGGGAAUAUUGGACAAUGGGCGAAAGCCUGAUCCAGCCAUGCCGCGUGUGUGAAGAAGGCCUUCGGGUUGUAAAGCACUUUCAGUGGGGAAGAAAGCCUUGGGGCUAAUACCCUCGAGGAAGGACAUCACCCACAGAAGAAGCACCGGCUAACUCCGUGCCAGCAGCCGCGGUAAUACGGAGGGUGCGAGCGUUAAUCGGAAUUACUGGGCGUAAAGCGCGCGUAGGCGGUCUGAUAAGCCGGUUGUGAAAGCCCCGGGCUCAACCUGGGAACGGCAUCCGGAACUGUCAGGCUAGAGGGCAGGAGAGGAAGGUAGAAUUCCCGGUGUAGCGGUGAAAUGCGUAGAGAGCGGGAGGAAUACCAGUGGCGAAGGCGGCCUUCUGGACUGACACUGACGCUGAGGUGCGAAAGCGUGGGUAGCAAACAGGAUUAGAUACCCGAGUAGUC
rnacentral:rRNA from 1 species